AAUGAACGCUGGCGGCGCGCCUAAUACAUGCAAGUCGAGCGAGAAGACGUAGCAAUACGUUUGUAAAGCGGCGAACGGGUGAGGAAUACAUGGGUAACCUACCCUAGAGUGGGGAAUAACUAGCCGAAAGGUUAGCUAAUACCGCGUACGCUCCUUGGACUUCGGUUCAGGGAGGAAAGCGAUGCCGAGGGUAUCGCGCUCUUGGAUGGGCUCAUGUCCUAUCAGCUUGUUGGGGGGUGAUGGCCUACCAAGGCGACGACGGGUAGCCGGCCUGAGAGGGCGACCGGCCACACUGGGACUGAGACACGGCCCAGACUCCUACGGGAGGCAGCAGUGGGGAAUCUUGCGCAAUGGGCGAAAGCCUGACGCAGCGACGCCGCGUGAGGGAUGACGG
rnacentral:rRNA from 1 species